rnacentral:rRNA from 1 species
GACGAACCGUGCGAACGUUAUUCGGAAUCACUGGGCUUAAAGGGCGCGUAGGCGGGCUGCCGCGUCCGGGGUGAAAUCCCACGGCUCAACCGUGGAACGGCCCCGGGUACGGGCGGCCUCGAGGAAGGCAGGGGCGUGCGGAACUGUGGGUGGAGCGGUGAAAUGCGUUGAGAUCCACAGGAACUCCGGUGGCGAAGGCGGCACGCUGGACCUUUUCUGACGCUGAGGCGCGAAAGCCAGGGGAGCGAACGGG